UGCUGGCACGUAGUUAGCCGGGGCUUUCUUCUCAGGUACAGUCACCUCAAGAGCAGUUACUCUCCCAAGCGUUCUUCCCUGGCAACAGAGCUUUACGAUCCGAAAACCUUCAUCACUCACGCGGCGUUGCUCCGUCAGGCUUUCGCCCAUUGCGGAAGAUUCCCUACUGCUGCCUCCCGUAGGAGUCUGGGCCGUGUCUCAGUCCCAGUGUGGCCGAUCACCCUCUCAGGUCGGCUACGCAUCGUCGCCUUGGUAGGCCUUUACCCCACCAACUAGCUAAUGCGCCGCAGGCCCAUCCACAAGUGACAGAUUGCUCCGUCUUUCCUCCUUCUCCCAUGCAGGAAAAGGAUGUAUCGGGUAUUAGCUACCGUUUCCGGUAGUUAUCCCUGUCUUGUGGGCAGGUUGCCUACGUGUUACUCACCCGUCCGCCGCUAGAUUAUUUAGAAGCAAGCUUCUAAAUAAUCCCGCUCGACUUGCAUGUAUUAGGCACGCCGCCAGCGUUCGUCCUGAGCCAGGAUCAAACUCU
rnacentral:rRNA from 1 species